UGUCUCCUAGGUGCUGGGCUCGAUGUGGCGAACACUUAAGGUGGCCCCAGAUGUUGAAGCAUCGCCCCUCGGACUAUUCUGUUUUGAAUAGAAUCAAUCACACAAAAGGCCUUUCUCAAGCCACAGCCAAGUACAAACAGCUUCUCUGCUUCAGUAGUAAGAAGAUCAAGAUUUGUCUGAUCAACACGGGAAUGCAACCUUGAGAAUGGAGAGA